rnacentral:rRNA from 1 species
UGGGGAAUAUUGGACAAUGGGCGAAAGCCUGAUCCAGCCAUGCCGCGUGUGUGAAGAAGGUCUUCGGAUUGUAAAUCACUUUAAGUUGGGAGGAAGGGCAGUAAGCGAAUACCUUGCUGUUUUGACGUUACCGACAGAAUAAGCACCGGCUAACUCUGUGCCAGCAGCCGCGGUAAUACAGAGGGUGCAAGCGUUAAUCGGAAUUACUGGGGGUAAAGCGCGCGUAGGUGGUUCGUUAAGUUGAAUAUGAAAGCCCCGGGCUCAACCUGGGAACUGCAUCCAAAUCUGGCGAGCUAGAGUAGGGCAGAGGGUGGUGGAAUUUCCUGUGUAGCGGUGAAAUGCGUAGAUAUAGGAAGGAACACAAGUGGCGAAGGCGACCACCUGGGCUCAUACUGACACUGAGGUGCGAAAGCGUGGGGAGCAAACAGG